rnacentral:rRNA from 1 species
UACGGAAGGUCCGGGCGUUAUCCGGAUUUAUUGGGUUUAAAGGGUGCGUAGGCGGACGCUUAAGUCAGCGGUAAAAUUGCGGGGCUCAACCUCGUCGAGCCGUUGAAACUGGCAGUCUCGAGUUGGAGAGAAGUAUGCGGAAUGCGCGGUGUAGCGGUGAAAUGCAUAGAUAUCGCGCAGAACUCCGAUUGCGAAGGCAGCAUGCCGGCUCCACACUGACGCUGAGGCACGAAAGCGUGGGGAUCGAACAGG